CCCUUCCUCUUUUACUUUUGAAAAAUAUACUCGGACACCGGACACCUGUCACGUCAUUAGUCGACGUUUAAGAAAAUAAAAAAAAAUAAAAAAUGACAUGGAUUAGUAGAGGGUUUGAAAGAAAAAAGAAUAAAAUAUUCAGAAUUUAAAUUUCAUUUUCAGAGAUUGAGAAAGAAACUCUAGAGAGAAACUCUCCACUCC
rnacentral:lncRNA from 1 species